UUCCUCCCCUUUUCUCUUCUUUUGGGCGUUCUACACGCCCUUCCCUUGGGACGCAUGUCCCAAGGAGUCCCAUGCCCAAAGGAGUUUGGGUACCUCUUCCUUGCUAGUUUCUAGCAUCUGAUAGUAGCACAUAACAAGAAAAAACUCUAGAGAAGAGGAGAAAAAGAAGAUCAAGGAGAAAGAUCAAGUAUCGAUCGCGAUCCAGACUUCAUUCAGAUUUAGCAGGCUGAAUUUUUGAGAUUCAAAAUUCAGAUUAUAGAGGGCUG
rnacentral:lncRNA from 1 species